ensembl:lncRNA
AUUACCUUGAAAAUCCCCCCAGUGGGGUUCCUGUAGCAAGGAAUGAUGGGGGCAUCCCUUGAACAUCUUCCCUAUUAUGCCUGGCAGUAAUAGGUGCCUGGUGAAUGGUCCCCAGGAUAAAAGGAUAGAGAAAAACAGUGAGGAAUUUUCCGCCAGUCUGGGGGACAUUCUACCCAAUUGCAGCCUGGAGCCAUUCUCCCAAAAAGGGGUUCCCAUACUCCACCAAAGGUUAGAGUUUGGUACUUCCCUUGAAGUGGAGUCCCGAUUGGGACUUUCCCUCAGUUCAGAGCAUGGUCAGGUGCCAUGGGAGGGAUCCCAAUCCAGCCUUAGGAAAAGAAACCUUCCGUGGGAGUCUUGCAGAUUGGCGAACGUCCUAAUGACUUAAGUGGCCGACCCGCGCCCACGUAAAAUUUAUAUAUUAGAGAUAGAGUCAAGAAGGAAUGGAUUAAUUCAUUCUUCAUCGCCCUGAGGCUUAAGGUACUGAUUCUCUUCAAGCUGAAUGCCAUGAUUUUCCCCCUAGAGUAGCCAUGGGCAGCAAACGUGGAUUCAUACAGCCAUCCAAGAAAGUUCCCGAUGGAGAAGUGAAUUUAGAUCCAUCCUCGAAAAAGAGAAAGGCACAAGGAAAAAGGGCACUUACCAGAACUUGAGCUCACAAGCCGAUGAAGCAAGUUGCCCGUAUGGGCCACCAGAAAUGAUGUGGGGUCGGUGAGCCAAGGAGUCGAAAGAAAGAUUUCUUGGACUCUCAAGGCCUGGCAGUGGUGCUCUUUUAUUUAGAGAAUAGUACGGAAUAGCAUGGGGACAGGACCCAUGGGCAGUCAGAGCUCCUGCUGCUGCCCCGAGUUGAGGGUUAGGGCUAAAUUUAUAAGGCAUGGGUACGUGACUUAUUUUUACUGGAAAAAGAAAAGAUGAUGUAAAAAGUCAUUAAAUGAUUUCAGUGCAGAUGGGGUCUGGUUAUUGUGCGGUCAUAUAACUUUAGAUACGAAUCUGGCCAUAUAGAUCGGCAUGUAGGUGAGGAUGCCCUGGGCUUCUCUCCCUGGGGCAGCCCUAAUUCACACCAUAAAAAUCCACCAGGUCAUAUAGUUUGGCAUGUAGGCUAGGUCACCUUGGGCUUCUCUAGCUGGGGCUGCCUUAAUCCACAUCACAAGGAAGUGAGGUGUACAGAGUGGUUAUAUACCCCCAUACAGGACGUUUCACAUGUGAUUGAAAUGUCCCUCCCACAAUAGUCACAAGAUUGCCCUGUUGGCACAGCACUUGAUGGACAGAGCAGGUAGUGGGUCCGCUAUCUUGGUGGGCACAGCAGGAGGCAAGUCUAUUGUUUCCAGCUAGGCGGUCACAGGUGAGCGCAGCAAUCAGCUUCCAGCCUAAGGAAAGAUGCUUAAUCCUUAAAGAAAUGCCAAGGUUGGGAGGGGGAGGGAAGUUGCACCUUUAUCUCAAGGGCCUUUGCUCUUGCCAUAGGGAAUCUCUAAAGCAGAUAUACAACGCAUGCUCAACGGCCUCGGUCAGGCCCUUUUGGAAAGACAAGUUCAGGCAGAGUUAGGUUUACACCAAAUGGCUUCCUCAUAGUCUCCAAUAUAUCCUAUUGCUUGCCAUUUUUAUUUGUCACCUGUCUCCUGCCUCUGUCCCCAGGUCCACCAGCAUGGUACCCCAAGGACUGGGUCUCUGCUCUCACCAGGGACCACACUCCCCGGGAAGCCCUGAGCCACUCUGGGCUGGACAACUGGCCAUCCUGCCUCUGGCCUGUGCUGGGCCCGCUGAGCCCUCGGGACCCAGCAGGGUCAGAGCAGGACGACCGUCAGGGGCUCACAGGCCAGGCACGGGAGACAGGCUGUUCAGGGCCCGGGCUGGGGUGGGCCAUGAGGGGGCCCAGGGCCCAGGGCUGGCUCUGCUAACCCUGAAGUUUCCGCCUGGGCUGGCAGGAAGCCACACGGGCAAGCAGGCUCUCCCCCCCGGCCUGGCCCUAGACUCCACCCGACUCACACAGACACGGACUUUAUCUCCCAGGACAGGGAGGGGCUGAGGGUGGAGAUUAGCCACCUGCUGGGGGCUCCCACCCCAGGGCGGGAACAGCUCAGGCAUCCAAGAACAGCCGGGCCCCGGAAGCACCCUCACCCUGUGCUGGGGGCUCACCUUCGUCCCCUGAGUGGGGUUUCGGGGACGAGGCCCACCAGGAGCUGUUCUAUGGCUUUCCUGUCUGUCUGCUCCCCUACCCCAGGGCCAGGGUGAGUGGGUGACAGAGGGCUGGGUCAGCCUAGGAGAGCCGGGCAGCUGGGGGACAAGGGCAGGACAGGGACAUCGUGGGCAGGGAUGGGGAAGAGGGUACACCCAGGGGCAGGAAUAGGGGCGCUGGGGCGCGGCUGGACAGACAGGCAGGCUCAGGAGACUCACCAGGCUCAGGGCAUCAGCCUUGGGUGCCGGGCUCCAUGGGGGUGGCCCCCAGCCUCGCAGAGGCUCCAUGUCUCUCCUCAGGACCCCUCAUUCCCUGGCUGCUGUCCCCUGCCCCCUGCCAGCAGGACGAGCUUUAGCACUUGGGCUUCCUGCUGCCUCGCUGGCUGAAAGAGAAAGAGAAACUGCAGCAGGAGCCAGCGAGGACAGCCUUCGGGGUGAUCUCAGGAAGUAUUCGUCUCCAGUCCCCAAGGGGGACCCUACGUCUAUGGAAAGGAGGAACCAGCGUCUAUGGAAAGGCGGGAUGCUGCUUCUACGGAAAGGGGGCCCAGCCACUUCAAGGAAACCCCGCCUCCCAGCAGUGCAUUCUGGGCGUGUCCACCCUCUGCCUGGGGCUGGGUCAGGCUGGUUUCCACCUGCACAGCCCUGCGCACGUCUCUGCAGAAGACGGGGUUCUCCCCACUCCACCUUCCCUGGAGCCAUGGCCAUCUCCCGAGCUGGGGGACAGGAGGGCAGGCCUGGGAGAGCAGACCCUCAUACACACACCUGGUGCCUAAGAGGCAGACUUGGGACUGGUGAGAGGCACCCACCCAGCCCUGGCAUCCUGGAUGGGGAGCGACUGGGUGAGUCCGGCCCCUGGCCCCCAUGCCCGCUGGCUGUCACAUCACAUUAAAGUCUGAGGCUCAUGUGAUGCACGUGGCAUGCCUCUGGCCCCCUUCAUCUUUGAGCUGGAAAGUCAAUUAAAGGUGGGGGCUUCCAUCUAAUCAGACCCAUCACGACCCUGAUGGGCUUGUCCAUCUCCAUAGGCCCCAGGCAGGUCCCCAUCAGGUGCUAAGGCUGGGCCCUCAAGGACACAGGAACCACCGCCUCCAGUGUACCGAUUGCUGGAUGCCCAGCCCAGGCUAACCUGGAGCCCCUUCUCUGUCCUGACUUUGGCACAAAAUCCUCCUCCAGGGUCACAGCCCCAGACCCCACCCUGCCCCACUGAACCUCAGGGCAUCUGCUGGACUUGAAGGGGACCCUGGGAGGAGACCCUGGGCGCUGGGGAAGGAACAGGGCAGGAGUGAAGUCCGAGGGCUGGGUGGAGGCUGACCACUGCCCUAUCGGCAAAGCUUCGCAGCGCCCAGAGGCAGCGUCCACCCUGGCCACCAUCACCCGGGACGACCAGCCCAGCCCCACAGACCCUGGUGCUCUGAGGUAGGGUGGGGGUUUGCUGGGACCAGGGGCUUGGGAGCCCCCAUGAGACCCAGCAGCACAGGGUCCCAUCCCCACACCCAGGGGCCUUUUAGAGGGUGCCCCCACCCCGCUCCCCCACGUGCACUCACACCCCCUGCCCCCCGCACUGCCGGGGGGUUUCCAAUGAAGGGAAAGGGGCACCCCCUCUGCACCCUCUGCUUGGUCCCAAGAGCCCUGGGGAGUGCUUUAGAAUGCCCUGGAAACCCCAGCAGCACACGGGUGCCUCAGAGUACACUGCAGGCACCCAGGGCAGGGACAGGGCUCUGGGACCACCUCUGCUCCCUGCCAUGCCCCCAGGGACCUCCCAAGUCCUGGGAAGAUCCUUGGGGUGGGGUUGGCCAGAGAGGGAGGAUGUUCUCCCUACACCUGGUGAGGCCCCCAGGACCCUCGAUCCCGGCUCUCAACCCACCACUCCCUUCAGAUGCCUCCUUUCAUCAGAGAUCCUUUCAUCCACCCCACCCUGGGCAGGUGGGGAAACUGAGGCACAGCAAAGGGCAGGACUUACCCACAGGCAUCAGUGAGUCUCAGCUGGAAUGGGGAGUCCCAUGGCUGGCUCGGCCCCUGUACCCCUGGC